AGCGCCAGGGAUCAACAAGUAUGGGCUGUGCUUGCAGGGACAGGAUUAGAUGAGAAAAAGGAGCCACAGCCACUUGUUAUUAAGAAGUGGUUUGGUAGUAUGGAGCCCCUUGCUGUAAAAGCUCUUGGAGCCAUUCAAAAGAAAGAGGUAGCCAUAAUCCCAGAAAGAUUUGAGAAGAUUUUCCUCGCCGAUGUCCGAUGAUACUCCAAGGGUCGUCCUCUGAUUCUCUUGUCUCUGCUUGCAAUACGCCGGUGCAUUGACUUUCUUGUUGGCAUUUCAAUCGGGCGAGACCUCGACAUUUUGCAGUUACUGCAUCAGAGCAUGGCGUCUUCACAUUCGACUUUACUGCAGAAAAGCGUAUCUAUAAUUGGCUAUUAUGGCUAGAUACCGCCACAUGAAGGGAAGGCCAACACUUUGGACUGCCCCUUUGCAUGGAAUUUCUCGUCUGUAGUAGUUCUCAAUGCUGGAUAUAAUGCUAAUUUCUUGUUGUAGAUGUGGAGGGAAAAUAAAGUGUUUCCGUUGUGGAGACUGCUGGUGGUUUCUCUCCCAGCAGAUAUGCUACUUGUUUUUGAAUGUGAUGGAGUGAUUUUUUGACGGUGGCUACAACACGACCAAUGACUUCAUUUGGUGAUGUAGCUCUCGUAAUGAAUCCAAAGGUAGGAGAGUUUUUUGGGCUUGCGCACAUCGGUAAAACUCGGCUAAUCAAUCAUGUUUUUUGCUGUCAUUGUAAUUGAAAUGAACUGUCCUUAAUGCAUUAGCAACAGGUCACGUGUUUAUGAGCUUUUGUCUAUACAUGCACUCGUGUUUCUAUUGGUGUUUUAAAUAUAUUGAUGAAGUUUA